CCAGCCACUUCUGACUCUAGCCAUCUGGUUAUGUCCCGGUGCCACAUGAACGGAAUAGACCACAACGUGAAAACGCCGGAAUCUAAUUCACCCACAACUUCGACUACCAAUUCGUCAAUCGGAGAUUGGGAUAUCUCAUUAGAUAACGUGGAUUUUGACAACGAUUUUCCUUUUGAUAACCCAGAAUUAUUUGCUUAAUUAAUAUCAUACAUCACUUGAUGUUGAUGGGUUUGUUGAUCCUAGCUAGCUCUGAAAGAGAGACUAAAAGG
rnacentral:misc_RNA from 1 species